CCUACGGGAGGCAGCAGUGAGGAAUAUUGGUCAAUGGGCUUACGCCUGAACCAGCCAAGUCGCGUGAGGGAAGACUGCCCUAUGGGUUGUAAACCUCUUUUGUCAGGGAGCAAUUGGCGCUACGUGUAGCGUGAUCGAGAGUACCUGAAGAAAAAGCAUGGGCUAACUCCGUGCCAGCAGCCGCGGUAAUACGGAGGAUGCGAGCUUUAUCCGGAUUGUUUGGGUUUAAGGGGUGCUUAGGCGGCAUGCCAAGUCGGGGGUAAAAUCGCGGGGCUCAACCUCGCUCCGCCGUUGAAACUGGCGUUCUUGAGUUGGCGAGAAGUAUGCGGAAUGCGUGGUGUAGCGGUGAAAUGCUUAGAUAUCACGCAGAACUCCGAUUGCGAAGGCAGCAUACCGGCGCACAACUGACGCUGAAGCACGAAAGCGUGGGUAUCGAACAGGAUUAGAUACCCGGGUAGUC
rnacentral:rRNA from 1 species